rnacentral:lncRNA from 1 species
ACCAAUCAAAACAGGUCUAGCUCACGUGCCUUUUUGCGCUCGUUCAUGUUGUUGAUCGGAGUUUUGAAAAUUCGUGGAAGUAUUUAAAAAGCGCCCUGUACAGAUUAUAUGUCAAAUCAUGGCUUCUCCACCUGUUUCCAUGUUGUCUGCUGUUGGAAGAACAUCUAUGAGGGACUGUGAAUAGAAUCUUUAUCUUCUGCUUAUAUACAACACUUACUCAUGGGCCAGUGGCACAAUUUCUAGCUGUACAAGGAUAUCAUGGUGUUUGAUAAGUUGAUGACAAUGAAACUAAUGACCAUGUUAACAUCAGAGGAAAAGCAAACUGGGAGAAGAAAGGACAACAUUGUUUUCGAUCUUGAAGGCCUGCGUAGACAUAGGACCAGGAAAGGGAGCUAGGAGUGGGAGAAGUGCCUGUGACUGAUAUAUGCACUAUCAGAUAGAAAUCCAGUUCAAAAGGAAAUCUGAAAUAGUGAAAUAGCAGAAAUCAUGACUUACAUACUGUGUAAUCUGCUCUAAAACACAAACAUUUGAAUUUAAAAUGUGUUAAAUGCAAAACAGUUCUACUUACAAAAUGAAUCUUUCAGUAAAUUCUAAAUGCAGCUGAAAAGUGAUAUACAUGAAAUGUGUGAAAACAGUGCAAGUUAAGUUUGAUUUUUUGUUGUAUACAAAACUGAAGAACUUGUAUCCAAUUCAUUUUCUGGAUGCACAGUGUUAUUGGAAUUUUUUUCAGAUAAUUUAAAAUUCUACAAGGUGAAGAAAUUUCAAAUAGUAUCUCAAGAAAAAAAGUUUGCACAAUGAAUUGUUUUUCAAAAAUUUGCAGUUGUUUGUUCAUUGUUUUGCCAGUCCAUUACACU